rnacentral:rRNA from 1 species
AUUGAACGCUGGCGGCAGGCCUAACACAUGCAAGUCGAGCGAGCGGCGGACGGGUGAGUAAUGUAUGGGGACUGCCCGAUAGAGGGGGAUAACUACUGGAAACGGUAGAUAAUACCGCAUACUAUCGGAUAACCCAUAUGGGAUUAGCUAGUCGGUGGGGUAAUGGCUCACCUAGGCGACGAUACCUAGCUGGUCUGAGAGGAUGCCCAGCCAAACUGGAACUGAGACACGGCCCAGACUCCUACGGAGGCAGCAGUGGGGAAUAUUGCACAAUGGGCGUAAGCCUGAUGCAGCCAUGCCGCGUGUAUGAAGAAGGCCCUAGGGUUGUAAAGUACUUUCAGUCGGGAGGCGUUACCGGCAGAAGAAGCACCGGCUAACUCCGUGCCAGCCGCCGCGGUAAUAC